GAUGAAGAACGUAGCGAAAUGCGAUACGUAAUGUGAAUUGCAGAAUUCAGUGAAUCAUCGAGUCUUUGAACGCACAUUGCGCCCCCUGGUAUUCCGGGGGGCAUGCCUGUCCGAGCGUCAUUGCUGCCCUCAAGCACGGCUUGUGUGUUGGGCCUCCGCCCCCCGGCUCCCGGGGGGCGGGCCCGAAAGGCAGCGGCGGCACCGCGUCCGGUCCUCGAGCGUAUGGGGCUUCGUCACCCGCUCCGUAGGCCCGGCCGGCGCCCGCCGGCGACCCCCCUCAAUCUUUCCAGGUUGACCUCGGAUCAGGUAGGGAUACCCGCUGAACUUAAGCAUAUCAUAAGCGGAGGA
rnacentral:misc_RNA from 1 species